rnacentral:tRNA from 1 species
UCAGCACCCAAAGCUGAUAUUCUUGUUAAACUACUUCUUG